UGAUAUCUUCAUUGAUGACGAGUCAAUUUGGGCACUCCUUGACGAUGAUAAACAACAGCCUGAAAAUAGUGGACUGCUUGAGCAAGUUCAAUCAUCUAUCAUCAAACCAGUUCAUCAGGUUCCUCUUGAUCUCGAUCUCCCUGAUACUUAUUCGUCUGAUAUUUUACUUGAUGAUGAAUUCCUUCUGGGUAUAACCAGCCCCAGUUACAUUCCUUGCUCCCUUGUUUCAGAUUUCGGUCUUGAAAUUGAUCCAUUUUCUGAUUUUCCUGACUCUUUCCAGUUUUAGUGAUGUUGUCUUCUUCGAAUGAACAUUUUGGCUUUGUUCAGGGCUGCUAGUGCAUUCAUGUUAAGAUUAGUUGGAACUGAAAUGCAUAUCUUGAACGACUUGAUUUGAUGCUUGUUCUAAACACUCUCACCAAUGAAGAUUUUGUUUUUGUUUAGGGCUGCUAGUGCAUUCAUGUUAAGAUUAGUUGGAACUGAAAUGCAUAUCUUGAAUGACUUGAUUUGACGCUUGUUCUAAAUACUCACUUAUGAAGAUUUUGGCUUUGUUUAGGGCUGCUACUGCAUUAAUGUUAAGAUUAGUUGGAACUGAAAUGCAUAUCUUGAAUGACUUGAUUUGACGCUUGUUCUAAAUACUCACCUAUGAAGAUUUUGGCUUUGUUUAGGGCUGCUACUGCAUUAAUGUUAAGAUUAGUUGGAACUGAAAUGCAUAUCUUGAAUGACUUGAUUUGACGCUUGUUCUAAAUACUCACCUAUGAAGAUUUUGGCUUUGUUUAGGGCUGCUACUGCAUUAAUGUUAAGAUUAGUUGGAACUGAAAUGCAUAUCUUGAACAACUUGACUUAAUGCUUCUUCUAAAUACUAAUGAAGAUUUUGGCUUUGUUACGGCUGCUAGUGUAUUCAUGUUACGAUUUGUUGGAACUAAAUUGCAUAUCUUGAACAACUUGACUUGAUUGCUUGCUCUGCAUACUAAUAUUUGUUGAUGUGUUUUGGCCUUGUAAUGGACUUAAUAUUUCUGAUACCUUAAGCAUGCAUACCUUAAAUUGCAUAUCUUGAACAACUUGACUUGAUUGCUUGCUCUGCAUACUCAUAUUUGUUGAUGUGUUUUGGCCUUGUAAUGGACUUAAUAUUUCUGAUACCUUAAACAUGCAUGCGUUAUCUGUUUUUUUGCUUUCUAUCUCAAGUUCAACAUCUUAUAUAGGAUAUAGCUUUCUCUUCAAUGUAUAUUGGAGAGGAUAAAACAUGCAUGAUCUUGCACGAAAUGUUGAACACCUAUGGUCCCUCCAAGCAUAUGCUUCUUAUUACCAUAAGGCUCAUAUGGUGGGAUAGUAAAGGAAGAAUAGCAACCUGGCUCUGAAUCACAUCGAACCUCUCCAAGAAUAGCAAUCUCAUAUGGAGGAAAAAAAAUAGUAGUGGCUGCUGCUAUAGGAGUCAACAUAGUGAAAAGGUUAGCUUCCAUGCUCAGC
rnacentral:lncRNA from 1 species